rnacentral:misc_RNA from 1 species
UGUCAUAGAAUUCAUUUGAUCAAGUGCGCAUUCUCUAUCUAUGAUAUAUUUAUGUGGGGUUUGCUGUGGCAUUCCAUCAUCUGGCCAGUUAGUGUCAAUUUUAGAGGGUAAAUGUCAUUCUCUUUGCUCUGCUCCUUCAGUACUCUGUAAUCUCAUGAGGGUGGUCUUAUAUGGUUAAUCUGUUAUGGUGACAGUAUUGAGGAUUCUUUUUCCCCUGGUAUUGGGGGAGCUGGGGUGGGAACAAAGAAAAUUAUGAAAAAAGUUCAGUAAUCAGAUUGUUUAAUUUUGAAUGUAGGCAUAUCACAUUCUAGGAUUUGUAGAAGUUUUUUGGGAUUGUUCAUUCUACUUUGUAAAAUGACAUCUCUUUGUUGAUGAAGUACAUAUGAUAAUUUGUUCUUCUUGCAUGUUUUCUUUACCCUGUGAUUCUCACUCCUUUCAUUUUAAUAUGUUGCUACUUCAUUUGCAGCGGAGAUAACAAUGCUUGAGA